rnacentral:rRNA from 1 species
UCUUGGUCAUUUAGAGGAAGUAAAAGUCGUAACAAGGUUUCCGUUGGUGAACCAGCGGAGGGAUCAUU